CAGCCGCCGCGGUAAUACGAAGGGGACUAGCGUUGUUCGGAAUCACUGGGCGUAAAGCGCACGUAGGCAGAUUUGUAAGUCAGGGGUGAAAUCCCGGGGCUCAACCUCGGAACUGCCUUUGAUACUGCGAGUCUUGAGUCCGAUAGAGGUGGGUGGAAUUCCUAGUGUAGAGGUGAAAUUCGUAGAUAUUAGGAAGAACACCGGUGGCGAAGGCGGCCCACUGGAUCGGUACUGACGCUGAGGUGCGAAAGCGUGGGGAGCAAACAGGAUUAGAUACCCCCGUAGUCCCUGUCUCUUAUAU
rnacentral:rRNA from 1 species